ACUCCUACGGGGGCAGCAGUGGGGAAUCUUGGACAAUGGGGGGCAAACCCUGAUCCAGCCAUGCCGCGUGAGUGAUGAAGGCCCUAGGGUCGUAAAGCUCUUUCGCCUGUGAAGAUAAUGACUGUAGCAGGUAAAGAACCCCGGCUAACUCCGNGCCAGCAGCCGCGGUAAUACGGAGGGGUUAGCGUUGUUCGGAAUUACUGGGCGUAAAGCGCGCGUAGGCGGACUGGAAAGUUGGGGGUGAAAUCCCGGGGCUCAACCCCGGAACUGCCUCCAAAACUAUCAGUCUAGAGUUCGAGAGAGGUGAGUGGAAUUCCGAGUGUAGAGGUGAAAUUCGUAGAUAUUCGGAGGAACACCAGCUGGCGAAGGCGGCUCACUGGCUCGAUACUGACGCUGAGGUGCGAAAGUGUGGGGAGCAAACAGGAUUAGAUACCCUGGUAGGCUCUGC
rnacentral:rRNA from 1 species